UUAUCGUGUUCCAUCGCCAUCUUCCUUUGUUCUGCAACAACUGAAACCUAAAGAAGCAUCUUCAAAAAGGGAUGGGGUUGGUCUUUCAGUAGCAGCUGGAGUAGUUCGCAGAUCUUUUUCAGCUUCUCUUUUGCAGUUUUAGGAUUGAACAUGUUACCUUAUUUAUAUGAAAGAUCCACCCUCUCUGAAUGGCCGUUACAUUAACAAAGACAUGAUGGCUGCUGCUUUUGGUCGUCCUAAAAAGAAGCUUCCUCCAACUACUGCUAUCAGAAGAAACUCAGAGAGCAGCAGCUUCCUACUACUUUCUGCAACCAGCCUUGCCUCUGUUGAAUCUUUAUCCAUGCCUCUUAACAGGUCCAGGAAGUUGUUCUUUCAGCAGACAUUCGAUGUGCAGAAUGUCAAAGGAGAGUUGCUGAUAUAAUGUCCAGAAUGAAUGAGACACAGUCAGUGGUGGUGAAUUUGUUGGAGAAAAAGGUGAUACUAACAUACAAGAAUGCAAGUGCUGGCAAAGCAUCCACACAUGAGCAAGCUGUUGCUACCAUAUACAGGAAUCCUCUUAGCAAAGUUGCCAUUAUCAGGCGGAUUUUCCGCUCUUCUCGAUGAUAUAUGAUUACUGAUAUAUACUCUCUUAGACCAUGUAUAAAAAAGUUUCAAUUUUCAUUGUUGAUGAAUAAAUCAAUUGUGUAUGUUGUACUUGGUUUUUA